rnacentral:rRNA from 1 species
AUUAAACGCUGGCGGCAUGCCUUACACAUGCAAGUCGAACGGCAGCGGGGGAGAAGCUUGCUUUUCCUGCCGGCGAGUGGCGAACGGGUGAGUAAUACAUCGGAACGUGCCCUGUAGUGGGGGAUAACUAGUCGAAAGAUUAGCUAAUACCGCAUACGACCUGAGGGUGAAAGUGGGGGACCGCAAGGCCUCAUGCUAUAGGAGCGGCCGAUGUCUGAUUAGCUAGUUGGUGGGGUAAAGGCCUACCAAGGCGACGAUCAGUAGCUGGUCUGAGAGGACGAUCAGCCACACUGGGACUGAGACACGGCCCAGACUCCUACGGGAAGCAGCAGUGGGGAAUUUUGGACAAUGGGCGAAAGCCUGAUCCAGCAAUGCCGCGUGUGUGAAGAAGGCCUUCGGGUUGUAAAGCACUUUUGUCCGGAAAGAAAUGGCUCUGGUUAAUACCUGGGGUCGAUGACGGUACCGGAAGAAUAAGGACCGGCUAACUACGUGCCAGCCGCCGCCGUAA